rnacentral:lncRNA from 1 species
UAUAAACUAUGAAAUAACAUUAAACUUUUAUUUUUUCUGAAUUGCUAAAAUGCAUUAGUUAUAACAUAAAACAUAAAGAUAAUAUUAAGCAUCAUACUAGUAAACACAUAAAUAAAAGUAAGAGGAUAAGAUUUUUAAAGCAAAAGCAUUACUUGUAUCCAAGACAAAUUACCAGUAUCUAGAAAUGUCUCCCAACCUGCAUGUUGAUUGUUGAAGCAUCAAGAUUAAUCUUCCUUUUAACCACAGUGCAUCCCACGAGACCCAUCAUGAAUUCUUUAUUUUGAUUUUCACUUAAUCGAACAAAGCAGGUAAUUUUCCUCCAUAUGUAAUCAUGAAAAUGACCUAGUUUCGUUUCCUUUGAUUAAAUUUUGAAAAGGACCAAAAUACCCUUUACUUAGCCCCUCCCUUCUUCUCCUUUUGUCAAUCUUUUUCCAUCAAAGCCAACCCAGAAGCAUGAAAAAAAUGAUCAGACAUGUCUCUUUUAAUAUAAACCAAAAAAUAAAAAGACCAUAUUGCCCUUUAUUCAUAUUAUUGCACCAAAACAUCCAUCCAUCUUCAAUCUACCCCUCAUUUCGUCUCGUUUUGCAUUUCUUAUUCCAACAAAGCCAUUCGAGAGAGAGAGAGAGAGAGUAAUGUGUUCAAUUCUGUUUACCACAUGAGUUGGUGAAACUCCUUAGGGCAAAGCAUUUGUCAUGUCGUUCUGUGUGAAUUUGUUUUAGAAAAUUAUAGACCAAUUUUCAUAAUAUUUAUCAUUACAAAAAUACUUGAGAAAUUAUUAUCUUCCUCCGCCAAGAAAUAGUGAAAUACGAGCAUAAGUGCAUAAUCAAACACUAAAAUGAUGAAAAGGGAUAUUGAAGAAAGGAGACAAUCCGAUUCAGGAAUAAAAAAUGGAAGAAUCCGAUUCAGGAAUAAAAAAUGGAGGAAUCAGAAUUCUGAUGAAGGGAAGGGUUGGUACCGGUUUAGUUUUUGGGUCGAGUGUUACACGCCCCAAUUGAGACAGUAUCAGAAGACCUAAUUGUAGAAGAUGCUUCAAAUUUUGAUUUUUCGUUCCUUUGGCAUCCUCCUACUGCUCUGGGUUUUACUGCCUUCGUCGAUUC